rnacentral:rRNA from 3 species
UGGUGGGUAGUUUGACUGGGGCGGUCUCCUCCCAAAGAGUAACGGAGGAGCACGAAGGUUAGCUAAUCCUGGUCGGACAUCAGGAGGUUAGUGCAAUGGCAUAAGCUAGCUUGACUGCGAGAGUGACGGCUCGAGCAGGUGCGAAAGCAGGUCAUAGUGAUCCGGUGGUUCUGAAUGGAAGGGCCAUCGCUCAACGGAUAAAAGGUACUCCGGGGAUAACAGGCUGAUACCGCCCAAGAGUUCAUAUCGACGGCGGUGUUUGGCACCUCGAUGUCGGCUCAUCACAUCCUGGGGCUGAAGUAGGUCCCAAGGGUAUGGCUGUUCGCCAUUUAAAGUGGUACGCGAGCUGGGUUUAGAACGUCGUGAGACAGUUCGGUCCCUAUCUGCCGUGGGCGCUGGAGAAUUGAGGGGGGCUGCUCCUAGUACGAGAGGACCGGAGUGGACGCAUCACUGGUGUUCGGGUUGUCAUGCCAAUGGCACUGCCCGGUAGCUAAAUGCGGAAGAGAUAAGUGCUGAAAGCAUCUAAGCACGAAACUUGC